rnacentral:rRNA from 1 species
GAUGAACGCUGGCGGCGUGCCUAAUACAUGCAAGUCGAGCGAACGGACGAGAAGCUUGCUUCUCUGAUGUUAGCGGCGGACGGGUGAGUAACACGUGGAUAACCUACCUAUAAGACUGGGAUAACUUCGGGAAGCCGGAGCUAAUACCGGAUAAUAUUUUGAACCGCAUGGUUCAAAAGUGAAAGACGGUCUUGCUGUCACUUAUAGAUGGAUCCGCGCUGCAUUAGCUAGUUGGUAAGGUAACGGCUUACCAAGGCAACGAUGCAUAGCCGACCUGAGAGGGUGAUCGGCCACACUGGAACUGAGACACGGUCCAGACUCCUACGGGAGGCAGCAGUAGGGAAUCUUCCGCAAUGGGCGAAAGCCUGACGGAGCAACGCCGCGUGAGUGAUGAAGGUCUUCGGAUCGUAAAACUCUGUUAUUAGGGAAGAACAUAUGUGUAAGUAACUGUGCACGUCUUGACGGUACCUAAUCAGAAAGCCACGGCUAACUACGUG